UCUCCCUGUGCCUCUCUGGCCCUUGCCUUGGGGCCCUGGGGAGCACCAGAGGCUGGUUUCCCAGGCCACAUUCCAGGGGAGAGCAGGGUCUGCCCCUCUGCUGAGCCCCAGGCUGACAGCACCUGGCCCCAGACACUACCUGCAAAACAUUUCUGACCCCUCUCCCCAGCUGCAGAUGCAUGCGGGGCAGGCCCUUUCCCACUGCCCACCAAUACAGACUGGGGACUGGCAGGACGGCUGGCCUGGGUGACCCACGGUUACCCGCUGCACAGAGCAGCCUCCUUUAUCACUGUCCUGCCGGAGAGGCCUGCCUGGCACAUCUCCCCUCCUGGAUCAUUGUCCUGUGCUCCCUGAAGGGAGCCCCUGUGCAGAGACCAUGGCCCAUCCACAGGUCUGCCCAACUGCUCUGCAUACUAAGCCACAAGGUGCCUGAUAAAACUCCUUGUAUUUACUCUAUACACCUAGGUCAGCACCUCCCAAUAUGUGCUUCA
rnacentral:lncRNA from 1 species